rfam:Jatropha curcas cultivar GZQX0401 scaffold2122_4, whole genome shotgun sequence.
GACCCAUUCGUCCAAUGGUUAAGACAAAACUCUUUCACUGUUGAAAUAAGGGUUCAAAUCCCUUAUGGGUUA